CCCCCUACCGCCACCUUCGCCCUCUCAGCUAGUAUCCGGCACACCCUCCGCCGUCUCUUUACUAGCCAAAGAGGGUUGCAGCAACGGGGAUAGCAGUUGCGAAACUAGUUGCCUGGCUUUAAACUCUGCCACGCUCUCCCGCUCGCUUCCUUUUCCUUCCUCCCUCCUUCCACCUCUCCUCCUCCUCCUCCUCCUCCUCCUCCUCCUCCUCUAUCCCCUUUUCCCGCCAACCUUUCCAGAAGGGAGAACCAUCCCACUCCGUGCCAACCAGCCAGCCAGCCAACCAACAGGGUGGUUUGAGAGGAUCGAGAGGGCAAUAUGUUUCUCAGAAGCCCCCAAUUUCCUUCGCACAAGCUCGCCGCGACCCCCUUUUCGGCGAUAGAAACGGGAACGGAAGCGCCGAUUCGCUCUUACGUCCCUACCUAAAGGUUUCUGCCGCUACUCUACAACCUUUUUCUUUCGACGGCGUAUUCCGCUACGCGUUUCCAAGAUCUCCGAGUUUCCAAAGACACGAAGAAAGGAACGAGAUUGGGCGCGAAACGGCGAGCAACGAUCGCGC
rnacentral:misc_RNA from 1 species